rnacentral:tRNA from 1 species
GGGUGUCUAGCUCAGUUGGUUAGAGCGCUGUCCUCACACGACAGAGGUCACAGGUUCGAAUCCUGUGUCACCCA